GUAACACGUAGUCAACCUGCCCUGGAGACAUGGAAAACCCCGGGAAACUGGGAUUAAUCCGUGAUAGGUCACCUCAUCUGGAAGGAGAGAUGGCUUAAAGGGGUGCGAGAGCUUCUUUCUUGCAUUCGCUCCAGGAUGGGACUGCGGCCGAUCAGGCUGUUGGCGGUGUAAUGGACCACCAAACCUGUAACCGGUACGGGCCUUGAGAGAGGGGGCCCGGAGAUGGACACUGAGAGAAGGGUCCAGGUCCUACGGGGCGCAGCAGGCGCGAAACCUUCGCAAUGCGCGAAAGCGUGACGAGGUUAAUCCGAGUGGUCCCCGCUGAGGGGAUCUUUUGUUGGCUGUAAAAAGGCCGAUGAAUAAGGGGAGGGCAAGUCUGGUGUCAGCCGCCGCGGUAAUACCAGCUCCUCGAGUGGUCGGGGCGAUUAUUGGGCCUAAAGCAUCCGUAGCCGGUUCUGUAGGUCCUCUGUCAAAUCCAACGGCUUAACCGUUGGCCCGCAGAGGAUACCGCAGGACU
rnacentral:rRNA from 1 species